rnacentral:rRNA from 1 species
UACGGGGGGAGCAAGCGUUGUUCGGAUUUACUGGGCGUAAAGGGCGCGUAGGCGGCCAGCACAAGUCAGUUGUGAAAUCUCCGAGCUUAACUCGGAACGGUCAACUGAUACUGUGCGGCUAGAGUGCGGAAGGGGCAACUGGAAUUCUUGGUGUAGCGGUGAAAUGCGUAGAUAUCAGGAGGAACACCGAUGGCGAAGGCAGGUCUCUGGGCUGACACUGACGCUCAUGCACGAAAGCGUGGGGAGCAAACAGG